GACGAGUGGCGAACGGGUGAGUAAUGUAUCGGAACGUGCCCAGUAGUGGGGGAUAACUACUCGAAAGAGUGGCUAAUACCGCAUGAGAACUGAGGUUGAAAGCGGGGGAACUACUCUGCGGGCCUCUCGUGCGCCUACAUGGAAGGCGGCGCGAUAUCAGGAUUAGGCUAGCUGUGGUGGGGUACGCUCUAAGGCCUACCAAGCCUGACGAUCUGUUAGUCUGGUCUGAGAGGACGACCAGGCCAACAACUGGCGACUGAGAUCACGGCCCAGACCUUCCUACCGGGAGGCAGCAAGUGGGGAAUUUUGGACAAUGGACGCAAGUUCUGAUCCCAGCAAUGCCGCGUGCAGGACGAAGGCCUUUCGGGUUGUAAACUGCUUUUGGUACAGAACGAAAAGGGCUCUGGUUAAUACCUGGGGCUCAUGACGGUACUGUUAAGAAUAAGCACCGGCCUAACUACGUGCCAGCAGCCGCGGUAAUACGUAGGGUGCGAGCGUUAAUCGGAAUUACUGGGCGUAAAGCGUGCGCAGGCGGUUUUGUAAGACCGAUGUGAAAUCCCCGGGCUCAACCUGGGAACUGCAUUGGUGACUGCAAGGCUGGAGUGCGGCAGAGGGGGAUGGAAUUCCGCGUGUAGCAGUGAAAUGCGUAGAUAUGCGGAGGAACACCGAUGGCGAAGGCAAUCCCCUGGGCCUGCACUGACGCUCAUGCACGAAAGCGUGGGGAGCAAACAGGAUUAGAUACCCUGGUAGUCCACGCCCUAAACGAUGUCAACUGGUUGUUGGGUAUUUGCUUACUCAGUAACGAAGCUAACGCGUGAAGUUGACCGCCUGGGGAGUACGGCCCGCAAGGUUGAAACUCAAAGGAAUUGACGGGGACCCGCACAAGCGGUGGAUGAUGUGGUUUAAUUCGAUGCAACGCGAAAAACCUUACCCACCUUUGACAUGGGCAGGAAUUCCGAAGAGAUUUGGAAGUGCCUCGAAAGAGAACCUGCACACAGGUGCCUGCAUGGCUGUCGUCAGCCUCGUGUCGUGAGAUGUUGGGUUAAGUCCCGCAACGAGCGCAACCCUUGCCAUUAGUUGCUACGAAAGGGCACUCGUAAUGGGACUGCCGGUGAACAAACCGGAGGAAGGGUGGGGAAUGGACGUCAAGUCCCUCAUGGCCCUUAUAGGGUGGGGGCUACACACGUCAUACAAUGGACCGGUACAAAGGGUAGCCAACCCGCGAGGGGGAGCCAAUCCCAUAAAGCCGGUCGUAGUCCGGAUCGCAGGUUCUGAGCAACUCGACUGCGUGAAGUCGGAAUCGCUAGUAAUCGUGGAUCAGCAUGUCACGGUGAAUACGUUCCCGGGUCUUGUACACACCGCCCGUCACACCAUGGGAGCGGGUUCUGUUAGAAGUGGUUAGCUUAACCUUUAGGAGGGCG
rnacentral:rRNA from 1 species